CACCCAGAGGAACCGCGCUGCCUCUCCGAAGUCGAGGGUCGGUCUGGCGCCGGCUAAGCACCACCCCAGUGUAGACGGGGGCUGAACCAACCUGAGAGCAGAGAGAGGGGGGUGGAACGUCGAGCGCCGGACAGGCCGUACCAAGACGGGGCGGGGGGUGCGCGAGGAAAGUUGCUUAUGUCAUUAAAGCCCCACGGGAGGCCCGGGGCGGGGCCGCGAGCGCAGAGGCGUAGGGUACGCCGGAGCCCCGGGCGCUGGAGGAGCUCGUGGUGGAACGGGGUCCAUCCCCACCUGCUAAUUCUAAGGCAAACCCUGGGAAGUUUUCGGCUUUUUUUCUUUUUCUCUUUUUUUCUUUUUCUAUUCGUUUUUGUUUGUUUUGUGACCAGAUCAUUCAUGAAAGCGCGCACUAUGCCCGGGGAGGAGAGGGGAGAAGUUUGGAAGUCCCAAACUAGAGGACGAAGGAGUGGGCGGAGAUUUUGGAAUUAUUUGCAUUAUAAAAGUUUCAGGUUUUGGAGCAUUUCGGAUUUUAGAUUUUCAGAUUUGAGAUCCUCAACUUGUAGAAGUGUGUGAAACCACAGAUGCUGAGAGAUUGCACAGCAGAGGAAUCGUCAUUCUGGUGGGAUCAGGACAAGCUUCCUGAAAUGGGUGUAUUUCAAUUUUGUUUCAACAGAGAUGAAAGCGGAGCUUGAGAGAGAAGAACUUAAGCAGUUUAUAUGGGGGCAAUGGCACAGACAAGGGCAUGGAGCUAAACCCGUGGGCAGAUGAGCUUGGCUAAUGGACAGGUUCUUGGCUGGGGAAUGAUGAGACCUCAGCUAGGAAAAGUGAGGGUGACAGAAGUUGAUUAAAUGCCCUCAAAUGCGAGAAUGGGGAAUUUAGGCAGCUUUUAUAGGUGUUUGAGCAUGAGAGAGAUGUAUUGAAAAUAUCCUGGCCGGGCGCGGUGUCUCACACCUGUAAUCCCAGCACUUUGGGAGGCCAAGGCAGGUGGAUCACGAGGUCAGGAGAUCAAGACCAUCCUGGCUAACAUGGUGAAACCCCGUCUCCACUAAAAAUACAAAAAAUUCUCCGGGCGUGGUGGUGGGCGCCUGUAGUCCCAGCUACUCUGGAGGCUGAGGCAGGAGAAUGGCGUGAGCCCGGGAGGUGGAGCUUGCAGUGAGCAGAGAUCGCGCCACUGCACUCCAGCCUGGGCGACAGAGCAAGACUCCAUCUCAAAAAAAAAAAAGAAAAAAAAGAAAAAAAAGAAAAUAUCCUUUUGAGGCCAGGCAUGGUGGCUCACGCCUAUAAUCCCAGCACUUGGGAGGCCGAGGCAGGUAGAUCACCUGAGGUCAGGAGUUCAAGACUAACCUGGCCAACAUGAGGUAACCCCAUCUCUACUAAAAAUACAAAAAAAUUAGCUGGGCGUGGUGGUGAGGACCUGUAGUUCGAGCUACUCGGGAGGCUGAGACAGAAGAAUCGCUGGAACCCAGGAGGCGGAGGUUGCAGUGAGCGGAGGUCAUGCCACUACACUCCAGCCUGGGCGACACGACCAGACAAAAAAAAAAGAGAAAGAAAAAGAAAAUACCCUAUUAAGAAGCGGCAUGUACCGUACUAAAAAGUAUGAAAGGGACUGAGAAGCUCCUGCUACUGGAUAUACAUGUCUGAAAUUUAUUGAAGGAUAUAGAUGUAUGUAAGUUUGUUGUGAGCUUGUCUGUUUUUUGAAACCCCCUUUCUCUUCCUUUCUUGGACUUUCUUCCUUUCAAGAAAACUAAGGGCUGGGCUCAGUGGCUCAAGCCUGCAAUCCCAGCACUUGGGGAGGCCAAGUGGAUCACCUGAGGUCAGGAGUUUGAGACCAGCCUGACCAACAUGGAGAAACCCCGUCUCUACUAAAAAUACAAAAUUAACCGGGCAUGGUGGUGCAUGCCUAUAAUCCCAGCUAUUCCAGAGGCUGAAGCAGGAGAAUUGCUUGAACCCGGGAGGCGGAGGUUACAGGGAGCUGAGAUCGCACCAUUGCACUCCAGCCUGGGCAACAAGAGCGAAACUCCGUCUCAGAAAACAAAACACAAACAAACAAACAAAAAAACUCAGGAGCAUGACCCAAAUGGUUGGAAGCCCCCUGGCACCUGCAUGGGAGUAGCAUUCUCUGACUAAGGAAUGAAACUGCAUUGCAGGAACACCGUGCCCCCACAUUCCUCAGCAGAAGCAGGGUUGUCAUAGCAAGCAGCAAUACAGAAGAUUGUUUUCCAGCAUGAUGAUUAUCAGGCUAGAACAUACUAACUUUAGCACAGUUUGGCCAAGCAUUCUUUCUACCCUUUUUUCACCUUGACAUCUUGAAGAAAUACCCUCUUCACAGCCAAGCACCACCCCUACCCAAGAGCAGGGGUCCAGAAAGGAUAAGUCUCCUCAAUUUAAAGAAAAGUGGGCUGGGCACAGUGGCUCAUGCCUGUAAUCCCAGCAUUUUGGGAGGUGGAGGUGGGAGGAUCGCUUGAAGUGAGGAGUUUGAGAUCAGUCUGGGCAAAAAUGCAAGACUUGUCUCAAAAAAACCAAAAAAAUUGUGAAAUUUCAUUCAUGAAGAUUUCAACAUGAAAAAUAGAUUUUUAUUUUCCUGAAGUAUUUUGGGUUAGGAGAAGAGACGAAAUUAAAGAUCAUUUCUUGCCUUAUCAGGCUGUAAGUUUGUAUUUCUGUUAUCCAGUGAAGGCAAAGGACUUUUACUUUCCUACGGUUUUCACCUCUGUUGAUAAAAUUUAGUACAAACAGCAACAAAGCACCAACAGAAAAUAAAAUCGAAAGGUCUUUCUUGACUCAAAUAAUCUCAGAAAAUAUUUCAAGAGAAUUACUUUUAGGAAGUAACAGUUAGCAAAGUGUGUGCUCUUGCUCUUGACAACUUGUAGUAUGUUGUUCAUCUUCAGCCUCUAGGACAUAAGUGGUGGGGGGAAGAGAGAGAGACAAAGAGGUUGGGAUGGAGGGAGGGGAAUAUCAAAGCUGAGGGAAAUGGGGAAAUUAAGGCCUUGAAAAUGGGAUUUCAGGCCAGGCACAGUGGCUCACGCCUGUAAUCCGAGCACUUUGGGAGGCCGAGGCGGGUGGAUCACCCGAAGUCAGGAGUUUGAGACCAGCCUGGCCAGCAUGGCGAAACCCCGUCUCUACUAAAAAUACAAAAAAAUUAGCUAAGCGUGGUGGUGCGUGCCUGUAAUCCCAGCUACCUGGAAGGCUGAGGCAGGAGAAUCGCUGGAACCUGGGAGGCAGAGGCUGCAGUGAGCCGAGAUCACGCCACUACACUCCAGCCUGGGUGACAGAGCCAGACUCCGUCUCAAAAAAAAAAAAGGAUUUCACUACCUGCUAAAUUACUGAAUCAAAGAAAACAAAGGCAUGGUGUGGUAUGCUGAAUAAUGCACAACCCUGCCCCCUCCGCCCCCCCAGCCAGAUCUCCAUUUCCUUAUCUCUGUAACUGGUGAAUAUGUUACCUUACAUGGCAAAAGGGACUUUGCAGAUGUGAUUAAAUUAAGAAUCUUGACAUGGGGAUAUUAUCCUGGAUUAAAGGGGUGGGCCUGAGGCAAUCAAACCAGUCCUUAUACGAGGGAUGAAGUAGGAGUCAAAGAGGAGGCCAUGUGAUGACUGAAGCAGAGAUUGGAGUGAUGUGGCCACCAGGGAAGGAGCCAAAGUAUGUCUGCAGUAGGAGUUGGAAGAGGCAAAAGAUGGAAGCCUGAAGCCCCCAGAAGCAAUCAGACCUGCUGACACCUUGACUUUAGACCACUGAUAUUGGUUUUGGACUUCUGAUGUCCAAAACUCUAAGAUAAUACAUUUGUGUUGUCUUAAGCCACCAAGUUUGUGGUAACUUGUUACAGCAGUAAUAUGAAACUAAUACACAUGUCUACCAUGUUGUACAUGGGAAUUCAAUCAAACCAGCCACAUCCAUCAGACCAGGGCUCAGCAAACUGCAGCCAAAUCUAACCUGCCAUUAUUUGUCUAUGGCCUACAAACUAAGAAUGGCUUUCUAUAUUCUUAAACGGUUGAAAAAAGUCAAAAGAUUUAAUAAUAUUAUAAUGUACAUCAAUGUUACCAGACUAAGCAUUCAUCACAAUAUUCCCAACUCAGAGGAGAGCAAUGGCUAGUAAAAUUUAAAAUUUUAAGUAGAAUAUCUUAUUAUGGCAAAAUUCAUAAUAAAACUAAAAAAUAGGCCAGGCGCAUUGGCUCAUGCCUGUAAUCCCAGCACUUUGGGAGGCUGAGGUGUGUGAAUCAUGAGGUCAGGAGUUCCAGGCCAGCUUGGCCAACAUGGGAAAACCCCAUCUCGGCCGGGCGUGGGGGAUCACGCCUGUAAUCCCAGCACUUUGGGAGGCCGAGGUGGGCGGAUCACGAGGUCAGGAGAUCGAGACCAUCCUGUCUAACACAGUGAAACUUCAUCUCUACUAAAAAUACAAAAAAUUUGCCGG
rnacentral:lncRNA from 10 species